AGAAGGAUCUGCUGGAAAUACGAUUCGAACUAGAAUACAAAGUUGGGAGGUGAGAGGAGGUCAUGGAAAUAAGUAAAGGGAAAAAAGGUUAGGUAAAGGUUUAAUUUGUUUUUUGCUUUAUUUUAAUGCAAUGUAUCUUUAUAUUUUUUGUUAAGUCUUUUUUAUUGUUUGUUUUUUGUUAUAUGUUUAUUUUAUUUUGUAUGGUUUUUCCUUUCUUUUUUUGUAAUUCUAAACUUUGAAUAAAUAUCAUU